GUAGUCUUCUGUCGAUGCCUGGAGGUUGGCAUGUGGCAUCAAGGACCACCGCGAGAUCCAAAAUGGUUGCUUCAGGUGGAUAUAGCCCACCUCCAUCCCACAGAGAGAUUCAGAAGGGAAAAAAUUUGUACUCUUGGAAAGAGAAAAAGUGCAUGUAUACAUCAAGGAUGACCAUAUGAAGAUUCAGAGUGAUAGCAGCCAUCUGCACCUUCAGAAAAAGACCUCAAAGGAAAUAAAACCUGCCAGUACCUUCAUCCUGGAUGACUGGACUUCAAAAUCAUGAUGAAAAUAAACCUGUCUUGUUUAA